CCACUGGGGGCGCUUAAUUGCUGAGAGACCGUUGGUCGACCCUUAGAACCUGAAUUACGGAUAAUACCGGCGUAGGGAAGUGGCU
rnacentral:ncRNA from 1 species